rnacentral:rRNA from 1 species
AGAGUUUGAUCCUGGCUCAGGACGAACGCUGGCGGCGUGCUUAACACAUGCAAGUCGAACGAUGAAGCCUUCGGGUGGAUUAGUGGCGAACGGGUGAGUAACACGUGGGUGAUCUGCCCUGCACUCUGGGAUAAGCCUGGGAAACUGGGUCUAAUACCGGAUAUGACCCCAGGAUGCAUGUCCUGGGGUGGAAAGUUUUUCGGUGCAGGAUGAGCCCGCGGCCUAUCAGCUUGUUGGUGGGGUAAUGGCCUACCAAGGCGACGACGGGUAGCCGGCCUGAGAGGGUGAUCGGCCACACUGGGACUGAGACACGGCCCAGACUCCUACGGGAGGCAGCAGUGGGGAAUAUUGCACAAUGGGCGAAAGCCUGAUGCAGCGACGCCGCGUGAGGGAUGACGGCCUUCGGGUUGUAAACCUCUUUCGACAGGGACGAAGCGAGAGUGACGGUACCUGUAGAAGAAGCACCGGCCAACUACGUGCCAGCAGCCGCGGUAAUACGUAGGGUGCGAGCGUUGUCCGGAAUUACUGGGCGUAAAGAGCUUGUAGGCGGUUUGUCGCGUCGCUCGUGAAAAUUCACAGCUCAACUGUGGACGUGCGGGCGAUACGGGCAGACUAGAGUACUGCAGGGGAGACUGGAAUUCCUGGUGUAGCGGUGAAAUGCGCAGAUAUCAGGAGGAACACCGGUGGCGAAGGCGGGUCUCUGGGCAGCAACUGACGCUGAGAAGCGAAAGCGUGGGUAGCGAACAGGAUUAGAUACCCUGGUAGUCC